AUGAAUUUGAAGGACGUUCUUUUUAGAAGUCCGACCUCUUCAUUUCCUUACACCGUGCACACACUUCUUUUUUACACCAUUUUUAACACAUCAGUAUAAGAAUGUAAUCAGUCUCUUAAUUGAGCAUAAAAUAGAUA
rnacentral:misc_RNA from 1 species